AUCACUUCUCGGCCUUUUGGCUAACAUCAAGUGUAGUAUCUGUUCUUAUCAGUUUAAUAGACUGGAAAACACAAAAUUCGUGCUUCUCUGAAUUUUGCAACAUAGUUUUCCAGCCCCCCAAUCACUGUAUAUAUUAGGGUAACAUGCAUAUGUUGAUGAAUGCAACUUAUUAAAAUGUAUUUUUU